GUGGGGAAUAUUGGGCAAUGGGGGAAACCCUGACCCAGCGACGCCGCGUGAGGGAAGAAGGCCUUAGGGUCGUAAACCUCUGUUGUGUGGGAAGAAGAGCGUGACGGUACCACACGAGGAAGUCCCGGCUAACUACGUGCCAGCAGCCGCGGUAAUACGUAGGGGACGAGCGUUGUCCGAAUUUACUGGGCGUAAAGGGCGCGUAGGCGGUCAUUUAAGUCAGCUGUGAAAUGGUUUGGCUUAACCGGAUCAUGCGGUUGAAACUGGAUGACUGGAGUGCUGGAGAGGCAAGUGGAAUUCCCAGUGUAGCGGUGAAAUGCGUAGAUAUUGGGAAGAACACCGGUGGCGAAGGCGACUUGCUGGCCAGCAACUGACGCUGAGGCGCGAAAGCCAGGGGAGCAAACGGGAUUAGAUACCCGGGUAGUCC
rnacentral:rRNA from 1 species